GCCGAAGUGGUGGAACUGGUAGACACGCUACCUUGAGGGGGUAGUGGGCUUAUGCCCGUGGAGGUUCGAAUCCUCUCUUCGGCACCA
rnacentral:tRNA from 1 species